rnacentral:lncRNA from 1 species
AAAUAUAAAUCUAACCAAAGCAUAAGAAUUUAACAAAUCACAAUACAAGUGCCAAAAAAGGAGAAGAUUCUCGAUGCAACACAAGAGUUCGGGAGUAGAUUUUUCAUCUUCGUUGGACUCAUAAGUUUCGUAAAAUUUCAGAUUCUUGAAUCAUCAUCCUUGGACUCAUGAUCUCGAACAUGGACUGUAAAUCAUCGAUCUUGAAAGGGAAAAGGGGGAGUACAAAAGGAAAAGAGGACAUGCAUGCCUAUGAGAAUAAGAAGGAGGAGGAGGAUGUUGAAGAUGGAGUCCCAUUAUGAGCUUGAGAAAUGAGGCGAUAGACCAUCAACCAAUAGCUGUAUGAGCAAAAUCUCAGUUCAAGAGAGAUAUUGAUGAGAUAAUUUAAGGACUGAGAUAGAAAAGG